rnacentral:rRNA from 1 species
UACGUAGGGUGCAAGCGUUGUCCGGAAUAUUGGGCGUAAAGAGCUCGUAGGCGGUCUGUUGCGUCGGCUGUGAAAACCCGGGGCUCAACUCCGGGCCUGCAGCCGAUACGGGCAGACUAGAGUUCGGCAGGGGAAACUGGAAUUCCUGGUGUAGGCGGUGAAAUGCGCAGAUAUCAGGAGGACACCGGUGGCGAAGGCGGGUCUCUGGGCCGAUACUGACGCUGAGGAGCGAAAGCGUGGGGAGCGAACAGG